AUCAUAUCUAUCCUCUUCAGGAAGUGAUGGUGUGAUGAUCUCCAGAGCAGCUGCAGUAGUGUUUGUGCUGCUGUGUGUUCUUCUGCUGACUGCACGCAUUAUACUGUGUGCCACCUUCACUCAAGAGAGACAACAGCUGCUGACUAAGAUCACCAACAUCACUCAAGAGAGAGACGAGUUAAAAUCAGAAAGAAAUGAUCUUCAGAAGAAGUUUGCGGAUGGAUGGAAGUGUCAUCAAUCCAGUCUUUACUUCUUUUCCUCUGAGAAGAAGAACUGGACUGAGAGCAGAAGAUACUGUAGAGAGAGAGGAACAGAUCUGAUCAUCAUCAACAACAGAGAGGAACAAGAUUUUGUGAAGAAUAUUUGUGGUAGUUCUGGUCAUUUCUGGAUUGGUUUGACUGAUAUUGAAGAGGAGGGCAGAUGGAAAUGAGUUGAUGGCAGCAACAUCAACAUCACCUCUGGGUUCUGGAAGUCUGGAGAACCAAACAAUCAGGGAAACGAAGACUGUGCUAACACUCGUUCAUCAGGAUGGUUUGAUACUAAAUGUGAUAGUAGUGUUAAAUGGAUCUGUGAGAAGAGUAUCCUUAAAUAAAUGAUACAUUAUAAUAAAAAAUGUACG